UACGGAGGGUGCAAGCGUUGUUCGGAAUCACUGGGCGUAAAGGGCGUGUAGGCGGCCUGUUAAGUCUGAUGUGAAAUCCCCUCGCUCAACGAGGGAACUGCGUCGGAAACUGGCAGGCUUGAGUACCGGAGAGGAAGGUGGAAUUCCCGGUGUAGCGGUGAAAUGACGUAGAUAUCGGGAGGAACACCGGUGGCGAAGGCGGUUCUCUGGGCCUGUACUGACGCUGAGGAGCGAAAGCGUGGGGAGCAAACAGG
rnacentral:rRNA from 1 species